rnacentral:rRNA from 1 species
UACAGAGGGUGCAAGCGUUAAUCGGAAUUACUGGGCGUAAAGCGUGCGUAGACGGUUGCGUAAGUCAGAUGUGAAAGCCCCGGGCUCAACCUGGGAAUUGCAUUUGAGACUGCGUAGCUAGGGUGCGGAAGAGGGAAGCGGAAUUUCCGGUGUAGCGGUGAAAUGCGUAGAUAUCGGAAGGAACACCAGUGGCGAAAGCGGCUUCCUGGUCCAGCACCGACGUUCAGGCACGAAAGCGUGGGGAGCAAAAGGG